CGCGUAGGCGGCCCGCUAAGUCGAACGUGAAAUCCCCGGGCUCAACCCGGGAACUGCGUCCGAUACUGGCGGGCUUGAAUCCGGGAGAGGGAUGUGGAAUUCCAGGUGUAGCGGUGAAAUGCGUAGAUAUCUGGAGGAACACCGGUGGCGAAGGCGGCAUCCUGGACCGGUAUUGACGCUGAGGCGCGAAAGCCAGGGGAGGCAAACG
rnacentral:rRNA from 1 species